ACCAGGCAUUUAAUUGAUUUUUUUUCUCCCAGCAUGCCUUUCUGGUGACUUUCCCUUUAAAUUUGGCAGAGAGAAGCUGCUGCAGCUCUAAAGUGGCCAUUUUGUAAGAGAUGUGUGUUUGCUAUUUCUUCCCAGCAAGAUGACCUACAGGAAGAACAGGAGAAGCAGUACUUUCUUGUGGCCUUGACACACCUAUUUUGGGAUAGUGAAACCCAGAAGAUCUGCACAAUAGCCUAGCAACCAGACUAGAUCUUCUAGUAGUGCUUCCCCCCAUCCCUAGCACACUGCAACAAGCACAGUAGAAUGCACAAGGCUGUUCUGUUCCAGAAAGAACUGUCUGGAAACAAUAUUUUUUCUGUGAAAAAUGUUGGUGAAAAUUAUUUUUGUUAAUGGCUUAACCAAAACUUUUCAGACUUAAAAAUAAACAACCUGCCCUCCCCAAAGAACCCAUACAGCACCGCCUCUGCCUCUAAACUAAAAAUGGAUGGUGUUAGCAGAUUUUCAAUUUUUUAACAAAAAUCAGAAUUUUUUGAUGAAAAUUAACAUAUUUUUGUUUCAAAAUAUGUGCAUUUUGUUGAAAAACCAAAUGCUGUUAAAAUAUGUUUUCGUGAAAAGUUUUUGACCAACUCUAGUUCCAAUGUAAGAGUUAGUGAAGGAGAAGUUUGUGUGAACUAAGGAUUAGUGCUAUGUAUUGUUCUCCACACUGAGUAGAAGUCUACUGGUGGAUUCCUCUGCACAUAGGUGCAUGGAACAGGACAGUUUCUUUUUGUCUACAAGAGCCUGGUCUUAUAUGGAAGUGCCUGCAGUUUUGAUUCCAAAAAUGUAAGUGAUGAGUUUCCGUCUCUACAGAUGCCAGGCAAUGUGAUACCACCUGCCCAAGUUAUUCUUCCUAGGCAGCCAAAUCAGAGCAACAGGUGAAAAGUGGUAACAAUUGAGAAGAGAUACAGAGAGCCUGUGCAAAAUAUCAAAGAAAUCAUUAAGGGGGAAAAUAGUGACGUACACUGAAGAUGGUGAGCUUACUGAUAGCUGCAGGCAAUUAAAGGAUUUCAUGACUCAUAUACUAUCAAUUUGUUUUUCAUGACUCAUUGUUUUUAAUCCAAAAGACAUAGUCAUUAAAUCAUUUGAAUUUACCGUUAGAAGCAUUUUUAUUGGACAAUCUACAGAGGUAAACUGAUUGAGCAAUGAAACGUGACACUUCUGCAGGUGAGAUUAUCAAGAGAUAACUGCACCCCCAGGACAGAAGGUGCAUCUGGGUGUCCCUGCUUCUCUCAGAAUUGUGAUUGCUGCAUGAUGAUAAAUAUAUAAUUACCUCCUAUUGUUGCCUAAUGCCUUAAUGAAAUUUGUUCAGUGCCUAAAUAUAAAGACAUUAGCCUGUUUGUGGACUAGACAGGAAUGACUAGUUAAUAUUUGGCUAUAUGACAUUUUUAAAAGAUAGAAACCAGUACUGCAUAGUGAAAUACUAAGUGAUCUUUCUGACUGGAAUUUCAGGUUGGUCUAUACAAUUUUUCUACUUCCAGUAACCUAUAAAUACUCUACUGGCUUUCUUUAAAGAAUCCAGUUUAUUGUUGAUUUCAAGCUCAAGCAAUACCUUAUGGGGAAUGCGGUAAGAAAGAAGGUGAAAAAGCAGUAUGGGGAAAAUGUAAUAGUUCUUGAAUAUAUUGUUGCUGAACCAAAUGGCCAAGUUUAAAAAUAUAGCACAGUGAAUGUCUCCACAAAGCAAUUAACAAAACUGUUGUGUCUGCAAAAUCCUGCAAUAUGCAUGCCAAAGGUGCCUCUGUAUGCACAUGGCUCAUAAGUUUGUGCGUGCAUAAUGGGUGCAUUGUUUUAUGUGGAUACAGCCAUAGUGUCCAUCCUUGAAAAUGUCUCCACAUCAUUUGUGCUGUGUGAAGUGGAGUGCUUUCAGAUGUGGAGAGUGUGGAGUAAAAUCGCACUGAAUUCUGCUUGGUCUUCACCACUCAAUUCUUUGGAAAAAAUACUUUCCUUUUCUCCCCCAGACCUUCUCUCCACCUUUCUAAGUUUGGUAGAGGACACCACUGCCCUCUUUCCUCACCCUGAAUUGAUAGUAUUUCAUAAGUCAUGGCAGUCAUCAGAGAACAUAUAAAAAGUACUUUUCUUUUUUUAAUAAAAAAAAGUUAGAUACCAGUUUCCUCACUAAGAUUCAUUCCUCUGGCAGCUGUUACUCUAAUGAUAUGUUACUGCGAUACAAUUUCAGAGAGACACUGCUCUGCUGAGAUUUUAUUAUUGAACAUCACCAGGGCCCUGUCAAUCUGGAGAUACACCAAAGUAAUAGGUCAGAGUGAUGGAUGAAGAAAAGUGAACCUUGAAAAGUGAUGGAGUAAGAGAGGACAAGAAAUUCAGGUUGUUUUAUUUUAAAAUGGCUUUACGCAUGCAGACGUAAUUUAAACUUUCUGAUUGGCUGGCCCUUACAUCAUAUCCAUUUAUAUAAUGCCUGUACAUGAAUGGCUUGCACUGUUUUCCUUAUUUUUAUAUAUAAAUUCCAUCUCCUAACAGCAAUAUGUAAUAAGACACUCCUGGCAAGACAUUUCAAGAAGAUUAUUGCAUAUCUUGGGUGGUUAAGUCACUUGACUUUCUGCUUCUUGCCUUCUAAUACUACUCAAGGCGUGCUAUAAUUACCCAGUAAUGUACUGCCUGUCAUAUUUUAUUGCUUAAUUGAAAUACACACACAUCUGAGAAAACUCUAAUUAUGCACAGAUUUCUAAAGCCAAUUUAAAAUAAAACAUACUGGAUCUUCUCUCCGGAACCCUUUUAUUCUAGCCAUUACUUUGACCUAUUGUUUUCUAAUGCUCUAUUUCCCUCCAUAUCAACAAAGUUAGGAGAUCUAGGGAACCCUGAUGCUUGAAAUAGCUUUUAAAAACUUUUAAAAGUCUGAAUUCCUCUCUCACUUGAACUACUGCUGUAUUCCUCACCUGUGUAAAUCAGCCCCCCUAUUUGUAAUAUAGGGAUAGUACAUAAUAUUUUUGUGCAUCAUUUGUGUUUAUUGUGGUACAUAAUGGCUCUCAUUUUCUGUUUCUUUGCAAUAAGAGAGGUCAGUAUAUAAAUGGAAGAUGCCUAUUUUGUAUAAUGAUACUAUAUUCCACUUAAUUUACUGAUUUGCUUAUGCUCCUCUGUUCAAUGUGUUUUGCCUUUGCAUAACAUCUAUUAAAAUCAAUGCCUCCUAAAGAGCAGAGCUAUCUAUCCAUCUUAGGUAUUUCUAAGAAGCCUAUCAUGUUAGUAUCUAAGAGCUGGAGAUAAAAUAUUUCCAAGUUCUCUCUCCUUUAGUGAGAGCCUUGGUAAUAAAGAUUAUUUCUUUAUUAGCAGCAAGGCAACACGACAGGCCUCAAGACCUUAGACACACAAUAUACCUAAUUCCUUGUGCUGCAGAAAAAAAUCUUCAUUGUCAGUCACACAUCAUGCUUUAUUGCUUCAGUGCAAAAACCCUACACUUUUAGUUAAU